UCAGACGCCAUCCUGUGGAGGGCCGUCGAUACACAGGAUAGCUCAUUUGACGCAACCUUAUUGGCGGAAUUACGAAAGGAACUGUUGACCCAGCGUAACGUCGAAGAUCCUGCUGAACCGUCCACCCAAAGUGACUCGCCGUCCCUCAGCCCCGUGCCUGAACCGUCCACCCAAAGUGACUUGCCGUCCCUCAGCCCCGUGCCUGAGGUCACCUCUGGACAAACAGCUAGAAAAGCCAGAAGUAAACUCAAGAUCUUUAAGAUACGCAGCAGUGCAAAGAUUGCACCAACUAAGGAUGCUUCUGACAAGGGGCUGGAGUCAGAGGCAACCGUCACUCGUGCCCUAUCGGAUGAGGGUAUUGCUGCCGCACCUUCUGGUGACAGGAAGGAGCCGCGCAGACGGCCCUGGUACAAGAAGAUCUUCCUCAGGCUCAGCUGUUUUGGAGGCCCAGCUGAGAUCUGACCUGUCCAGCCCACCACCUAUACCCUUACACCCCAUCCUAACCCAAGCCUUCACCCCUACCCAACUCCCCAACUUGUUUACCAUAUCCACCCAUCCUACCACACACACACACACACACACACACACACACACACAUCACCUAUGCCAGCCACAUCACAAGGCUGCCCAUCACCAGGAGCGGAGCUACAGGGGUGGCUAGGGGGGCAUUUGACCCCCCUGAAAUCUGAUUGGCUACCCCAGGUGCUCCCCCAGAAAAUGGACAGGAGCCCCGCCCACUCGUGUUACACAAGGCACAUAGAUCGCCUGCAAAUCGCUAUCGCGAGUGAAGAAACAGAGCCAUACAGAGAACAGAGUUAUGCGAUUGGAGGACCAGGAAUUAAAUUGCAGCCCCGCCUUUCAGCGAGAUAAGGUUGUUCCUAAAGCGGCUGUCUUCCCAUAGACUCAACAUAGAACCACCACAUUAACAGCCAAAAAUAAGGACUAACAAACUACACUGCGGGGUAAUCACCAUAAAUAUGUAAACUAUCAACUGUCUCGGUGGUGAUAAUCACAAC